rnacentral:rRNA from 1 species
GUCUAUAGCCAUACCACCCUGAAUGCACCUGAUCUCAUCUGAUCUCAGAAGCUAAGUAGGGUCAGGCCUGGUUAGUUCUUGGAUGGGACAAACACUCUGGGUACAUAAGAAACCUGACAGGGAUAAUCU